rnacentral:rRNA from 1 species
GACGUAGGGGGCAAGCGUUAUUCGGAAUUAUUGGGCGUAAAGGGCGCGUAGGCGGCCUGGCAAGUGGAUGGUGAAAUCCCUCGGCUUAACCGAGGAACUGCCAUCCAGACUGCUUGGCUUGAGACCGGGAGAGGUGAGUGGAAUUCCCAGUGUAGCGGUGAAAUGCGUAGAUAUCAGGAGGAACACCGGUGGCGAAGGCGGAUCUCUGGGCCAU